CAAACUUUCCUUGGCCAAGGCAGUUUUCUUGGGCUCUGGUGCAGGAAGGAGGAGGUACCUGACCUCCUGUCCUGCAGAGUUCACUGUCUGUAGGCAGAGAAACUCUCCCCAUGUGCCUGCCCUGACCAGGAAUGGGCCCAAGGACAGAUCCAAAAGUUCAGCCUUGCUGGCUAAGGCACUACGAACUGUUGUGUGACCUCCUGGGAAUGGAGUGUGUUGUGGGCAAGAGAUACAGAGGGUUCAUGGGAUUUCAACUGACGUGAACUUCAAGUGCACAGGAAAGCGUUGAUCAGAGGACACGUACAAUCAGCUGGUACGAAUGGCAUCACCCGGGUGCUACUUACACCUGAACUUUCCAGAGGUGGCCAGCUGAACUGCCAGGAACCGCCUCUGGAGGAUCCGAUAGACGCCGGUCUCUGAGAAAGUGCGGGCAGG